AAAAAAUGGAGUUCACAAUAGUCCAUUGUUGGCUGUGGUGACGGUGAUAAUGAGUGAUACCAACAGUGAAACUCAGUAGGACUCCAGUGAAACUA